CGGACGGGUGAGUAAUGUCUGGGAAACUGCCUGAUGGAGGGGGAUAACUACUGGAAACGGUAGCUAAUACCGCAUAACGUCGCAAGACCAAAGAGGGGGACCUUCGGGCCUCUUGCAAUCAGAUGUGCCCAGAUGGGAUUAGCUAGUAGGUGGGGUAACGGCUCACCUAGGCGACGAUCCCUAGCUGGUCUGAGAGGAUGACCAGCCACACUGGAACUGAGACACGGUCCAG
rnacentral:rRNA from 1 species